AGUUGAAGGAGAAAGUGACUGCAGUCCUGAAUCUGUUGACUGAGAGCUGCCGUUUGCACCGCGAGACACGCCACUACCUCAGACAACAGAUCCUCCCCCCUCUGAGGGAUGUGGCACUGAGGCCGGGGCCACAGUGAGGGGACGUGGACACGGACAUGAAGCACUGUGCUGCCGAGCUCCUCUUUGUGCUCUGCAAAGAGAACGGGACAAGAUCAUCCAACCAGUGGGAGUGACAACAGGGGGGAGUCUGGAGUCCCUGUGUGGUCAGAUAAGGGGGAGCACUGUGGAAGAGGUGGAAUCAGAAGGAGAGAGGGAAAAGUAGGGAGGAGAGAAAAAAAAAGUGAGAGAUAGGAGGGUGGAGUAAGACGAUUACAAGGAGUUAGGAUGACGUUACAGCAUAGGAUGGUGAAGAGAGAGAGAGUAAGAGAGAUAGAGGUUGGUUUGUAUUUAUAUAGCACAGUGGUGGAAAAAGUAUCCAAUUGUCAUACUUGAGUAAAAGUGAUGAUACCUUAAUAGAAAAUGCCUCAAGUAAACGUGAAAGUAACCUAGCAAAAACGAUUUGGUUUUAAAUAUACUUAAGUAUCAAAAGUAAAAGACAAUGCAAAAAAUAUACUUAAAUAUCAAAAUUAAAAGUAAAUGCUAUAAAUCCUUUCAAAUUCCUUAUAUUAAGCAAACCAUUUCAGAACAAUUUAUUUGAUUUUUAUUUAUUUAUGGAUAGCCAGGGGCACACUCCAACAUCAUUCACAAACAAAGCAUUUGUGUUUAGUGAGUCCGCCAGAUCAGAAGCUGUAGGGAUGACCAUGUGUUUUCUUGAUACGUUUGUGAAUUAGACACAUUUCCUGUCCUGCUAAGCAUUUGAAAUGUAGCAAGUACUUUUGGGUGUCAGAAAAAAACCAAAUAAACUACAUAUUUUAUUUAGGAAUGUAGCUGAGUAAAAGUUGUACAAAAUAUAAAUAAUAAAGUAAAGAUACCCCCCAAAAAUACUUAAGUAGUACUUCAAAAUAUUUUUUACUUUCAUCCAUUUACUUGAAAGCAAUUUAAUUUGGAGCGUGUCUGUACCCCACCUCAUCUGUCCCUAUGUGUAGCACUAGUUUGAAUGUACUGUAUACGGUAGCAUCACCCACCAAAACAACACUCUUAGAAACACUGUAGCCAGGUACAUUCAUCGAGGGAGAAAAAAACGCAAGAGAAAGGACAAGGAGCAGAGAAUAGAGUCCUCAGAUUCCUUGCCAAUCGUAGUGUUGUUAUGCUUCCAUAUCCUUUAUUUUCCACUCUGGUUCCUCUCCUGGAGAUACCCCCACUUAUAUUCAAGGGUGCAAUGCCAUUUGCUUGUAACAGGGGAUAGAUCUGGUUGAGUGUGUGGUGUGUUUGUGUGUUCCUGUACUUGUACACUCCACCCAACCAAGGAGCCAAUCCACUCUGAGGACAUUAUCCCAAUGUGGAACAUAUAUCAGAAUUGGACUGGAGGCAAUAACAGGUCCAUGAUGAUUGUAAUCAAUGAUGUGGGAGCAGUUAUUGUGCAGGUGUCUGUCCCUGUCAUGUGAAGGGAAAGGGUAGCAUUACCUUUGAGUAACAUGCUUUUUCCUCUUCCAAAAUGUUGUCAUUCAUUCCUCUGCGUAUAUACUUCCUUUCCCCUCCAAUAUUUGCUGUAGUGUAAAAUGCAUAUGGUUUCUCAGGUGGAAAUAUAAAUAAACCAUUCCUGCUGUACUGUACUGUCACAGUGUCUGCCUUGGAUAGGAAAAUAAUCAAUAGGGGUAAAAUCCUCUGAAACUCUU